rnacentral:rRNA from 1 species
CCUGAAGUGGGGGAUAACCAUUGGAAACGAUGGCUAAUACCGCAUAAUACCUACGGGUCAAAGAGGGGGACCUUCGGGCCUCUCGCGUCAGGAUAUGCCUAGGUGGGAUUAGCUAGUUGGUGAGGUAAUGGCUCACCAAGGCGACGAUCCCUAGCUGGUCUGAGAGGAUGAUCAGCCACACUGGAACUGAGACACGGUCCAGACUCCUACGGGAGGCAGCAGUGGGGAAUAUUGCACAAUGGGCGCAAGCCUGAUGCAGCCAUGCCGCGUGUGUGAAGAAGGCCUUCGGGUUGUAAAGCACUUUCAGUCGUGAGGAAGGUAGUGUAGUUAAUAGCUGCAUUAUUUGACGUUAGCGACAGAAGAAGCACCGGCUAACUCCGUGCCAGCAGCCGCGGUAAUACGGAGGGCUGCGAGCGUUAAUCGGAAUUACUGGGCGUCAAGCGCAUGCAGGUGGUUUGUUAAGUCAGAUGUGAAAGCCCGGGGCUCAACCCCGGAAUAGCAUUUGAAACUGGCAGACUAGAGUACUGUAGAGGGGGGUAGAAUUUCAGGUGUAGCGGUGAAAUGCGUAGAGAUCUGAAGGAAUACCGGUGGCGAAGGCGGCCCCCUGGACAGAUACUGACACUCAGAUGCGAAAGCGUGGGGAGCAAACAGGAUUAGAUACCCUGGUAGUCCACGCCGUAAACGAUGUCUACUUGGAGGUUGUGGCCUUGAGCCGUGGCUUUCGGAGCUAACGCGUUAAGUAGACCGCCUGGGGAGUACGGUCGCAAGAUUAAAACUCAAAUGAAUUGACGGGGGCCCGCACAAGCGGUGGAGCAUGUGGUUUAAUUCGAUGCAACGCGAAGAACCUUACCUACUCUUGACAUCCAGAGAACAUUCCAGAGAUGGAUUGGUGCCUUCGGGAACUCUGAGACAGGUGCUGCAUGGCUGUCGUCAGCUCGUGUUGUGAAAUGUUGGGUUAAGUCCCGCAACGAGCGCAACCCUUAUCCUUGUUUGCCAGCACUUCGGGUGGGAACUCCAGGGAGACUGCCGGUGAUAAACCGGAGGAAGGUGGGGACGACGU